UGGAAGUGAUAAGCUUUAUUAUAACAAUUUUAUGAUGAAAAGAAUUUCUCUAGAUAGUAAAGUACUGAUCCAG